rnacentral:rRNA from 1 species
CGGCGGACGGGUGAGUAACACGUGGAUAACCUACCUAUAAGACUGGGAUAACUUCGGGAAACCGGAGCUAAUACCGGAUAAUAUUUUGAACCGCAUGGUUCAAAAGUGAAAGACGGUCUUGCUGUCACUUAUAGAUGGAUCCGCGCUGCAUUAGCUAGUUGGUAAGGUAACGGCUUACCAAGGCAACGAUGCAUAGCCGACCUGAGAGGGUGAUAGGCCACACUGGAACUGAGACACGGUCCAG